UUCAUCAUUCUUUCUCUCCACGCAAAGUUUUUUUUAGAUCUAUCUCCACGCAAAGUGAAAAUAAUCCACCGUCCUUUUGUCUCUCCCAUGAAAAAAAAACUAUUCCCCUAUGCCUUCCUCUCCAUAAUUUUUCUGGAGACCAAGCCCCAUCGAAGUAUUCCAUCCAUCGUCCCUUCCUCUCUCUUCCAUCUCUCUCUUCACGGUUGAAAUCAAAGCUACUACUCUCUCAAACUAAUGCAAUCAAGUUGGGCCAUGGAUCUGCCGUGGUGAAGGGGUUACUUCCUUAAAUUUGUUUUUCUUGAUCUAGAUCUGGUUCGUAUCUCACAAAUUUUCUUUUGAUUUUUUUCUUGCCAGUUCACCAUCCUAUCUUUUCUUCUGGAUUCGGAUUCAACUACUUUUUUUUCUAUCAUUUGAUCAUGUUGUGCACGAAUUCGUCCUAUUGGAUUUGGAUUGAACCCUGAAUCUUCUCCCGUAAUUUUUUUGGAUACCUAAUGGAGAUUGGUUCAGAGCCGAGCUAUGCCAAUCAGGCGAUUCAAAGCCCGGCUAUGACCAUAAGGCGAGCCUAUAAUUAGAACUAUCAACAUUAACUUCAAAGUGCCUCCAGUUGGUUGUUUUUGUAAUGAACCCGGUAAGCAUCCAGUAGACAGAGCCAUAAUUUUCUGUUGGCAAUUCCCAUGACAGCAGGUUCUACCAAGCUAAUUUCUUUUUGAGCCUGCAACGGAACAUGUAUGCCUCAAAAUUUGAAGUAUGAUUGUAUUUUUUGUGUUAUUAGCAAUCAGCAAUGGAUAGUCCAAUUCUUUCUUAUGUAAAUUCAUACUGUAAUUUUUGUGUUGUUAGCAAUCAUCAGGCAAUGUAUAUUUCAAUCUUUCUCAUGUAAAUUCGUAUGACUAAGUUCGAACACUUUAUUUAGAGGAUCUUAAAUUUUUAUUAUAUAAGCAUAGUGUGUACGUUUUCAGAUUUUCAUCACAAAAGAAGCAAGUCUGUAUUUUUGUCAGAAUUUCAGGGGGAAGAAGUCUACAGAGUACACAAUUCUUACAUAAAUGAUUUGGGGAAUUUUGAUGUUACACAUGGUCAUUCACAGAUGUAGUUGUUGAGCAACUAUCUUAUCAUUCCAUCAUAUAAGGAUCUCAGCCUCCCAGUUGUCUAUUUCAUUAAUCAAGUGACCAGUACGGUUGUGCUAAUGGAGCAGUUGUUGUUGCCAUAGCAACUUACAUCGGGCAUACUGAAGAAACAGACAUUCAUGGGAUUUGAAAGAUUCAUGAUAUUGUGAUUCGAAUUGAGUGAGUAUAUUCGAGGAACCUAAACGAGUACACGUGCUAAUAGUUACGACUCUUGGAAUAUACAUGGAUGAAAAAGUUAAUGCGACAAGGUCAACCAAAUUGAUGAGGAUUAUUUGGGCCGUGUCAUCUCUGUAACAUAAAAACUAUUAGAUAUUUGAUAGGCCCGUAUUUAUAUCAAUAAGAUUCAAGUAUUGCUAUGCGUAUAUUUAUUGUAUAGGAAAGUUAAUACCAAGUGUAUACAUACUACUCACUAUCAUCUACAAGUGCAACUAGAGUUUAUGUCAAUUUGAAUAUCA